ACGCUCGACACCUACGGAAGGCAGCAGUGGGGAAUAUUGCACAAUGGGGGAAACCCUGAUGCAGCGACGCCGCGUGAGUGAAGAAGUAUUUCGGUAUGUAAAGCUCUAUCAGCAGGGAAGAAGAUGACGGUACCUGAGUAAGAAGCCCCGGCUAACUACGCGCCAGCAGCCGCGGUAAUCUGAGCGGGCUGGCAAGGC
rnacentral:rRNA from 1 species